GACGAACCGUACGAACGUUAUUCGGAAUCACUGGGCUUAAAGGGUGCGUAGGCUGCGCAGCAAGUUGGGUGUGAAAUCCCUCGGCUUAACCGAGGAACUGCGCCCAAAACUGCUGUGCUCGAGGGAGAUAGAGGUGAGCGGAACUUAGGGUGGAGCGGUGAAAUGCGUUGAUAUCCUAAGGAACACCGGUGGCGAAAGCGGCUCACUGGAUCUCUUCUGACGCUGAGGCACGAAAGCUAGGGGAGCGAACAGG
rnacentral:rRNA from 1 species